rnacentral:rRNA from 1 species
CAGUUUUGGCGGAGCCAUCCUUGGGAUACCACCCUUGUAGUACUGGGACUCUAACCAUAGGCCAUGAAUCUGGUCUUGGGACACUGUCAGGUGGGCAGUUUGACUGGGGCGGUCGCCUCCCAAAAGGUAACGGAGGCGCUCAAAGGUUCUCUCAGUACGGUCGGAAAUCGUACGUAGAGUGUAAAGGCAAAAGAGAGCUUGAUUGCAAGACAUACAGGUCGAGCAAGGAUGAAAAUCGGACUUAGUGAUCCGGUGGUUCUGCGUGGAAGGGCCAUCGCUCAACGGAUAAAAGCUACCCUGGGGAUAACAGGCUUAUCUCCCCCAAGAGUCCACAUCGACGGGGAGGUUUGGCACCUCGAUGUCGGCUCAUCACAUCCUGGGGCUGUAGUAGGUCCCAAGGGUUGGGCUGUUCGCCCAUUAAAGUGGUACGCGAGCUGGGUUCAGAACGUCGUGAGACAGUUCGGUCCCUAUCCGUCGCAGGCGUAGGAAAUUUGAGAAGACCUGUCCUUAGUACGAGAGGACCGGGAUGGACGUACCUCUGGUGUACCAGUUGUUCUGCCAAGGGCAUGGCUGGGUAGCUAUGUACGGAAUGGAUAAGCGCUGAAAGCAUCUAAGCGCGAAGCCAACUUCAAGAUAAGAUUUCCCACCGCAAGGGUAAGACCCCAGAAAGACUAUCUGGUUGAUAGGUCGAAGGUGUAAGUGCAGCAAUGUAUUUAGCUUAUCGAUACUAAUAGGUCGAGGACUUGACCAAU